UACGUAGGUGGCAAGCGUUGUUCGGAUUCACUGGGCGUAAAGGGUGCGUAGGUGGCGAGGUAAGUCGGAUGUGAAAGCUCGGAGCUCAACUCCGAAAUGGCAUUGGAAACUACCUUGCUCGAGGGUCGGAGGGGGGACUGGAAUACUUGGUGUAGCAGUGAAAUGCGUAGAUAUCAAGUGGAACACCAGUGGCGAAGGCGAGUCCCUGGACGACUCCUGACACUGAGGCACGAAAGCUAGGGGAGCAAACAGG
rnacentral:rRNA from 1 species